rnacentral:lncRNA from 1 species
UUCUAUUGUCAAUACGGCUACUGCGCUGUCACGCCCAAGAUGCGACCCUAUCCCAAAAGAACUCAAAGGUCCCACUAAGGAUAGAAGCGCAUCUUGAAGACGCUUUUGCAAGGUGGAUAUCAUUACAUAAUAGAUGGGGACACAUACAAGGCAUACAAAUGCCGCAAAAAUACAUCAAUACAUCAUACAUAAGAUCAUCAUCCGACUACGGAUGAAACAUAAACAGCAGCUCAAACGACAUCCACCCUGCUAGCCCAGGCUGCCGACCUGGAACCUAUCCCCUGAUCGAAGAAGAAGCAGAAGAAGAACUCCAAAACAAGAAACAUCGCUCUCGCGUCAAGAUCAUCGCAAAACCUGUACUUGCAACUGUUGUUGUAGUAAUCUGUGAGCCACGAGGACUCAGCAAUCCCAUUACUAUGGGUAUCAAGACUAGCAAAACUUAAUGGGAAAGGAAUGGAUAAGGUGGUGAGGUUGCAGCAGCGACUAAGCAUGUAUGGUGGCUAACAUACGCAAAUAAGAGCGAGAAGAGAAGCAACGGAACGGUCGUGAAACUAGCAAUGAUCAAGAAGUGAUCCUGAACUCCUACUUACGUCAAGCAUAACCCAUAAACCGUGUUCACUUCCCGGACUCCGCCGAGAAGAGACCAUCACGGCUACACACGCGGUUGAUGCGUUUUAAUUAAGUCAAGUGUCAAGUUCUCUACAACCGGAUAUUAACAAAUUCCCAUCUGCCACAUAACCGCGAGCACGGCUCUCGAAAGUUUAUACCCUACAGGGGUGUCCCAACUUAGCCCAUUAUAAGCUCUCACGGUCAACGAAGGAUAUUCCUUCUCCUGGGAAGACCCGAUCAGUCUCGGAAUCCCGGUUACAAGACAUUUCGACGAUGGUAAAACAAAACCAGCAAAGCCGCCCGGAUGUGCCGACAAAUCCCGAUAGGAGCUGCACAUAUCUCGUUCUCAGGGCACACCGGAUGAGCCAGAUGUCGGGUUGGCAUAGACCCUGAUUGCCCAGGGGGCGCCGGACAUCGCUCGGUUUGGACCAGCACUUGGAGAAGCACUGGCCCUGGGGGGGUAAAAUAAAGAUGACCCUCGGGAUGCGCGACUCCCAAGGGAAAAAGGCUAGGUGAUGCAAAUGUAAAACCAAGGUUGGGCCUUGCUGGAAGAGUUUUAUUCAAAGCGAACUGUCAAGGGGGUCCCAUAAAUCACCAAACCGCGUAAGGGACGCAAAAUCAAGGAACAUAACACUGGUAUGACGGAAACUAGGGCGGCAAGAGUGGAACAAAACACCAGGAAUAAGGCCGAGCCUUCCACCCUUUACCAAGUAUAUAGAUGCAUUAAUUAAAUAAGAGAUAUUGUGAUAUCCCGACAUAAACAUAAUCCAACAUGGAGCAAUCUUCAUCUUCACCUGCAACUAGCAGCGCUAUAAGAGGGGCUGAGCAAAAGCGGUAACAUAGUCAAACAAUGGUUUGCUAGGAAGGGUGACAAGAUUAGAGGUUCAUGGCAAAUUGGGAGGCUUGAAGAGCAAGUGAUAGGUAGCGCAGCAAAGCGAUAGAACGAAGCAACUAGCAGCAAUGAUAGUAAUGAGAUCCAAGGUGACAGUCAUCUUGCCUGGAAUCCCGCUAGGAAGAAGAACGAGUCCAAGAAGAAGAUGAAGCCACGAAGACGAACCAAGCGUAGACGAACGAAUCCUCACGAUCGCAACGAAACGGGAACUAUCGAGAAGAAACACACAACAUGGUAAACACACCACACAUGAACAAGGCAUGAUGCUCAACCAAGUAUGAUGCAUGACAAGGCUACAUGAAGCUACUCAUGGCAAGAGAUGAUGCAUACCGGAGCAACACAUCAAAGCAAGUUUAAAUGAGGCUGGAAACAAUCUAUAACAAUUCCGGUAAGUCCUCAUAUGCAAGUUUCAAAAUUGGUCUAGAACUGAAUAAACCUUAUGUUCAAGUUGUUAAACAGCAAGUUAAGAUGCACCAAGAUGAUCUACACGAAAUUCUAGUCAAGUUACAUAUAAAGUUCAUUAGAUUCGGAGUUACGGCCUAGAAGAUAUGAGCAAAACAAGUUAAACAUGGCAUUGAUGCAAAAUGCAUUCAAACAUCAAACAAACACACUCAAGGCAUGGAUGCAACAUGAUAAUAUUAAACUACAUGCAAUUCUAAGCAAGUUUCAUAUAGAGCAUGCUCAAAACGGAGCAACGGUGCAACACAUACACUCCAAACAAGACAUAACAACAAUCUGUCCAAAACAGCAACUAUGCAUCUAGCAAGCAUCAAAACAAUAUGCUACAGCACCUUAACAUGAAAAAAAUGACAUGGGCAUGAUGUACAGGUAAAGCAUUACAAAACAUGAACACUGAGCUAUCUCCAGAAAACACUAUAACAUGCUCAAAAGGACAUGGCAAGAUUGCAAAUAAUAACAGUUUCACAGACAACAUGCUAUAGGAACAUAUCUUAGCAAACAAAGGUUUGUUAGCUCAAAAGGACAUGGCAAGAUGACAGAAUCACUGGACAUGGCAGAAAUAACAUCAGGUUGCAAAGUUUAGAGCUAACAAACAACAUGCUAUAGGAACAUAUCUUAGCAAACAAAGGCAUGGCAUGAAUCUACUAAUUACAUAGAACAAAAGUCCCUUACUGAACAUGAGCCAAAAAGGCACAGAAGAUAUGAUGGCACCCAGGUAAACAUAGCAAGUUUUAUUAACAGCUUCAGACUUGGAAGAAAAACAGAGCAUGGCAGAAAUAACGAUAAGUAGGCAUGUUGGUGAGCUUGAACCACUCACUAAAGAGCAUUACAUGGCAUGGAAAGGUAACCAGCAGUAAGAAGGCAUAAUUAUGAAGCUAAUCAUGGCAAUAUCAUAGUCAUAGGGUACAUGGAUCACUAGUAACAACCAUGGCAAAAUUGAUUAACAUGUAAACAAUCUUCCAGGAACAUUUUAUAGCAAAAGUAGAGCAAGAUUAAGACAUGCUAGAGCACUCCAUAAUUGCAAACAUGGGCAUGGAUGGAUAGAGCAUAACAUGUGUAACAAAACAUCGUUAGUGAACAUCUCCAGAUUAUGCAUAGAAUGACUUGUAGCAGCAGGUUUACAUGGCAUCACAACAUAACAGACUCUGACUUAGCAGAAAUGAGUCACAGAAAUCAGCAACAUCACGGAGGCUACUUUGCAUGCUUGUGCUAGUCACCACAUAGAUCCUAAAAAUACAAGACAAGCACCUCUGUAAAGAUGGCAUGAUUUAGAUCAAAACAUGUAGACAUCAACCUCAUAGGAUGCACACACAAAAUGCAAUGAAAAAGACAAAUUAUCAAGUUUUGUAAACAGACAGCAGUUAACAACAUAUAGCACUCUUGCAACGAUGAUUAGGGCAUCAAGAUGAACUCAAACAAGCAUGGCACAAUGGAACAAAAUGAAGAUCACCUCCUGAUGCACAUUUAUAUAUAUUAAGUGCACAUAUAGGAGCAGCGAGCAUGAUGUUAUGAUGCAAUGAACAUGGGAUAAAAAUAUCACAGGAAAAAUGACUUAGUGGAAAAAUGAGGGGGGUUCGACGUUCGGGGUUUGACCGCGGCACAGAUCCGGAGGCGAGCGGAGCCGGGACGAGGUCGGAGACGGUGAGGGAG